ACUGAUAGAAAAUUUUGUCUUUAUAUAACAUCUGAUUUUUUUUUCUCAAUCAUCUGAGGUUUAUCUAAGAAAACUUUACUUUGACAGUUAAUUUGAUGUUUAAUGAUUAUAAAUGUACUUUUGCAAUAAUAUACAUUUAUUUGUUCCAUUCAAUUUCCAGCACUUUUUUUGUGUAUUUCAAUAAUGUUUCCAUCGGUCAGUCCUUUACAUACAUUCAUGCUAUAGUUUUGGUUUUUACAUUUUCUUUACUUUUCUUACAAGGAAUGUAUCAUUAUUGUGAAGUUUUUAAAUUAGAAUAUAGCUGAAAAGCACAGGCUUUAUAAAGACCAACUUUGUGACAAUUUUUUUCCCAUUAAUUUUGAGACCUACUAUAAUAUCAAAGAUUAAACAUAACAAUUAAAGGAGAAGGAUUCCUAAGAACAGAAAUGUCAAUUAGCCGUUUCAGAAUCUAAAGAAUCAUGGGUAAUUUCAUUGUUCGUACCCCAAAAUGAAAAUAACACCACGUCAUUGGUUAAAUUUUCAUUGUUUAUGACAUUUUUAACCAAUCAGGACGUUUUGGUGUACACUUUUAAAAAUAUUACCCAGGAUGCAUUAGAUUCUGAAACGGUGAAUUGGAAAUAUUAUAAAAGAGUCAUUAUGUGUAUUCAGGAUUUUUUAAUUUUCAAUAAACAGUUGUAGGUGUUUGCUUUAUAAAUUAUUGCCAUUGUGGUGUUGUUUUGUGACUUUAUCAAAUAACUACACACUUUCACAGGAUUUUUUAAUCACAUUAUUUAAGUCUAAAUAAAGAAACAAACACAAAACCACAGAGGUAUCUCUUCAGUUACAUGAGUUUGUUAAUCUGAAAUUAAAAAUAGAAAAACAAUAUCAGAAUUUUGUAUUUGUAUUGUAGGUUAAAGCUUAAUACCAGCUUCUUUCCCCUAUCUCGUAUCACCCCUAACCAUAUAAUUAAAUAGAUAGUUGUGUGCUUACCAACUAGGAUUUAAAAAAAUAGAAAGUUAGAUUUGAUCUUAAUUUGUUUUUAAAGGGCAUAGAAUUGGCUUACAACAAGUUUUAUAGGGACUCUGACAUCAUCUCUAUCUUUUUCUGAUUAUUUAAUAUUUGCAGGCUCUGUAUUUGAAUAUUUUGAUUGUUUACAAACACAUUUCUGUAAGAGAUUUGAAAAAGUCUAUACCAGGUUGAAAUCUCAUUUUGAAUAAAAAAAAAAAAAUACAAAUUGAAUUUAUGAAUCAUGCAAACCAACACAAACUAGAUAUGAAUUUACUGAAAUUUCAUGUGGGCAGAAAAUUGCCUGUGUAAUUUAAAUUUUCUCAUACUGAUAUGAUAAAAAAUAUGUUAUAUUUUAGCCUGCACAUAUCUAUAUCAGAGGUAACUUGUCUAUGUGGUAUAAUAUCCCAUCAUUACAAAGUCAUAUCUUAUAAGAAAUCAUUUGUAUCAUUCAUAUCAUCUAAUCAUUGAUUUUGCAAAUCAUUCCCUGUGAAUUUUGUGAAAAUUUAUUGUGAUAUUAGUGUAGCAUUAAUAAUAACACAAUUUGAUCUACCAUGGCAUAAACAUGGUGUAUCUUUUUCUCUUUAUUUUGCAUAUUUGCUCACCUUUAUAAUAGUAUUAUAUUAAUUCAUAUGUGUAUUUACACAAACUAUCAGGUUUUCUGCUGUAUUUCUUUGCAAUUUUCAAUUUACAAGUGUACAUUUGGUUUUUUUUUAAAUUCUGGAAUUCAGAUCUCUGUGAAUGCAUUGAUUGCUACUCUGCAAUACAAAAACAGAAAAAAAAGUAUACAUAUUUCUUGUCAUGUCUUGCUUUAUUCGAUAAUUUACAGUAAUUUUCAAUAUUCUAAAAUAUAAACCUAAAAUUGGGGUGAACAAUUAAAGCAAAUAAUCAGGAACACCACAAUGAAAAAAUUCUUACACAGUAUUGUCUUCAUACUUCAAGAAUUCUAUAUGAUUUUGAUAAAAGCUGUUAAAAUGACAUAUGCAUGUCCAUAAUCAGACUUAUAUGUAUUUGUAAUAUUCCAUUAUAUUUUACAAUGAAUAAGCAUAUUAAAGUAAUAUUAUAUAUAGAGUAUUAUAUAUAGAAUAUUAUUUUCUGUGGUUUUUAAACUUCACAGAAACCAAGAAACUAAAAAAUACUUAUCAAAUUCACAUUUAGUAUGAAGCAAAUAUUCAACAAGCUUUCACAAGUAUCAAUAUCUUAGGUGCACGUUUUGAAAAUAUGGAUAGAACAGCUGCCUAGCUUGCACUUUUAUUGGACUAAUUUUGACAUUCUGUUAUGCGCUUGUAAGAACACUUAAACCUUUUUCCUGCUGGAAGCCCAAAAAGGUUGAAAUUGAGAACCAUUUCAGUCUUAGGAUUUCAGUUGUUCAUUUCAUGUACCGUAAUCUAUUUCAAAAUGUCAAGAGUAGUUAUCAUUAUUAUUGAAUAAGUAAUUAGUUGCUAUAUGUGGCCAUAACAUUAAAGUUAUAUAUAAAUGUUAUUGUACAUUAAAUUUGUACAUUUUGUAUAGACUUGUGCUGUAAUAAUAAAUGCUGCUUACAAGGAAGUUAUUUCAAUUAUUGACAAGUAUUCAUCUUUCAUUUAUAAAAGAUUAUUUAUGCCCCUACAAUUCAGGUUUCAGUCUUUUGGAAAGGAAAUGUAGAAUUCUCUUUUCAUUCACCCUUGGCAGGAGUUAAGGACUUGAAAAUGUAGAAAUAAAUAAAAAUAAGAUAUAACUGCCAGAAAGAAAACUACUCCAUAGAUUAUGACAACUACUCCAUAGAUUAUAAAAUUGAGAAUGGAAAUGGGGAAUGUGUCAAAGAGACAACAACCCGACCAUAGAGAAGACAACAGCAGAAGGUCACCAACAGGUGCAGCGAGAAAUUCCGGCACCCGG
rnacentral:lncRNA from 1 species